UACGGAGGGGACUAGCGUUGUUCGGAAUUAUUGGGCGUAAAGAGCUCGUAGGCGGUUUGUCGCGUCUGCCGUGAAAGUCCGGGGCUCAACUCCGGAUCUGCGGUGGGUACGGGCAGACUAGAGUGAUGUAGGGGAGACUGGAAUUCCUGGUGUAGCGGUGAAAUGCGCAGAUAUCAGGAGGAACACCGAUGGCGAAGGCAGGUCUCUGGGCAUUAACUGACGCUGAGGAGCGAAAGCAUGGGGAGCGAACAGG
rnacentral:rRNA from 1 species